rnacentral:rRNA from 1 species
GUGAGGAAUAUUGCGCAAUGGAGGCAACUCUGACGCAGCCAUGCCGCGUGCAGGAAGAAGGCGCUACGCGUUGUAAACUGCUUUUAACCGGGAAGAAACCCCAGGACGUGUCCUGGGUUGACGGUACCGGAGGAAUAAGCACCGGCUAACUUCGUGCCAGCAGCCGCGGUAAUACGAAGGGUGCAAGCGUUAUCCGGAUUCAUUGGGUUUAAAGGGUGCGUAGGCGGAGCGUUAAGUCAGUGGUGAAAUCCUGCAGCUUAACUGUAGAAUUGCCAUUGAUACUGGCGCUCUUGAGUGCGCUUGAAGUGGGCGGAAUGUGCCGUGUAGCGGUGAAAUGCUUAGAUAUGGCACAGAACACCAAUUGCGAAGGCAGCUCACUAAGGCGAUACUGACGCUGAGGCACGAAAGCGUGGGGAUCGAACAGGAUUAGAUACCCUGGUAGUCC